rnacentral:rRNA from 1 species
AUGUCGCUCCGACCUUCUUUCACAGAGCCAGCGACAGCUCUGCCUUCCUGCAGUUGGACAUGCUCCUCCAUCGAUGUUCGCGCGGUCAUCCGCUGCACCGCCAACAUCCUCUCUCCGGCCAACCUGCAGCUAGGGGAGGUCUCGAACUGCAGCUGGAGGAGGUCUCGACCUGCAGUGAUUUGCACAAACACUUCACCUGGAGGUAUCGACUGCAGCUUGUCGCGUCUGUCGCUGCCGCCGAGGUCCACCACAUACGGCCGACGCUGCAGCAACCACCCCCCACCAUUGUCUGUUGCCGAUGCGUGCAACCACGUCCAGCCGCCCACUGGAUGUGGGCAUAGAGGCAGGGCCAUGCCGAGGGAGCUCGAGCUCCACCACCCACAGCCGGUUCCCCUGCAGGUUGCAGCGGAAAAACAAAAAGCAGAAGUUCAAGAUGAAAUUUGA